GUGAGGAAUAUUGCGCAAUGGAGGCAACUCUGACGCAGCCAUGCCGCGUGCAGGAAGAAGGCGCUACGCGUUGUAAACUGCUUUUAACCGGGAAGAAACCCCAGGACGUGUCCUGGGUUGACGGUACCGGAGGAAUAAGCACCGGCUAACUUCGUGCCAGCAGCCGCGGUAAUACGAAGGGUGCAAGCGUUAUCCGGAUUCAUUGGGUUUAAAGGGUGCGUAGGCGGAGCGUUAAGUCAGUGGUGAAAUCCUGCAGCUUAACUGUAGACUUGCCAUUGAUACUGGCGCUGUUGAGUGCGGUUGAAGUGGGCGGAAUGUGCCGUGUAGCGGUGAAAUGCUUAGAUAUGGCACAGAACACCAAUUGCGAAGGCAGCUCACUAAGGCGAUACUGACGCUGAGGCACGAAAGCGUGGGGAUCGAACAGGAUUAGAAACCCCUGUAGUCC
rnacentral:rRNA from 1 species